AGGAGGAGGAGGAGGAGGAGGAGAAGACCGUCCUGUCCGGAGUGCUGCUCAGCUGCAAGUGCACUGCGGAGGAGGCGAGAGGAGAAGGGGGCACGUCCACCCUCCAGUUCAUCUCCCCUGAUAGGACUCCUGCAAAGCCCCGACCUCUGCCCAGUCCAGCACCUGUGGGAUGAGGACUGGGACGUCGACCGAGAGCUGGUUCUGACCUCACUGACGCUCCUGCGGCUGAAUGGGGUAGCUGAUUUAAAGCCUGAAACCAGCACAUUACAGUACUAAUGAGGCAGGGAACAUUAGAAACACCUCUCCACAACAGGACAGCCACACAGUACAGCCUCAGCAUUUGUCCCGAGAGUCCACACACAGGAGACCCGAGGGACUGAAGGGAUAACAGGCAGUCAGUAACUUAGCGUCCCAAGUACAAGCAUGUUCUCCCAUCAGUCGACAGACGAGGCACCACAAGGUGCGUUAUCACAAUCCACCACAAGAGGGCGACACAGCGGAGCUCAGGUCAGCAGCUCGCACUCACAUUUUGUGUGACGAUCUUGA